UCGCUCUUUCUUUCUCACUCUUGCUCUGCCUCUCUUUCUCUAUCGCUGUGGCUAGCUCGUGCUCUCUCAGUGGCUCGCUCACCCCUCGCUCAGUCUCUCUUCCUCCAUUGGUUCUAUUGCUUGCAAAAGGGACUGCCGUCCAAAAAUCAUUUUCUUGUUCCAUUAUUUGCUCUACAAGCACCAGCUACUGUAAUCUCGUGGUUUAAGAGCGCAUAGCUUUGCUUGAUGAGAAGAAUAUGUGAAUAUUACUCUAAGCUCCUUGGCAUGUACAAUCACAACAACGUAACCUUCAUCGGCCUUGACCUCGCUUCACGAUUAUGCCUUCUUC